ensembl:lncRNA
UAAGUUUACUGGAAAAUCAAAACUCUUUUUAUUCAAGUCUGAUGUCUUCACCUGUAAAGAACAGUAAAGAACACAAAACUACAGAAAUACGAGUUUUCUACAGUAACUCUUUCUGCAGUUAAUACUACCAUAGUGUAGUAAUAGCACUGUAGUAUUAUAUAGUAUGAGCCAUAUUAUAGCUACUGUAUUAUAUUAUGGCGUAUAGUAUAGAUGUAGCGUAGCAUAUUAAAGUUAGAAUAAAACCCAUAGAAAUGACAUGUUCUCUAGAAGCUGUGACUAUAGUUAUUAUACUGUUUUAUCAGUAUCGAUGUAUAGAUGUAUUGUCUUUGGAAGUUAAAGAUUACAGACUCGUCUUUCUUUCCUCACAUCAUAAGGUAAAAUCAGAGCUCACUUUAACCUGCGUGACUUUUUUGUUUGAGGUAAAAGACUUUGUACUGGUAUCUGCAUGAGGAAUUUGUCUCUGGGGCUUCUGUGGUACCUGAAGGCUACUGCCUACAAAGAAAGGUGCCAGAAGAAAGGCUUCCUACUGAAGAGAAAGUAUAAGUAAACUAAGAUAAAUAAAAUGAAAUGGGAGGGGGCGGGCGUGGGGCUGCUCCAGACCUCCCAUCAAGGGCUGGUGGUGUACGGGAAACGGGAGGAAGGGAGGGCGCUGAGUGUUCUGCCGGGGCGAGCCUCAAACCUUCGGCUCGGACGUGGUCUGAGAACGGUGCGAUGUCGACAGCCGCAGAAGGGGAGUUGGACUAGCUUGCCCUCAGAGGUCCCUUCCAACUCUAAGGGUUCUAUGACUCUAUUCUCUAACUCCAAGUUCUGCCAAGUGAAGAAGUACCGCAAAACCGCCACCUGCUGACCGCCGCCGGGACGGACGAAUGGACGGAUGGACAUCCGAACCCACCUGGGAAAUGUCUUUGGAAAAGGGAAAAACGUGCAGUCACGGACUUUUAUAUAAUUUAAAGUUAUAUAAAAUUACAAAAUAUAUAAUUCAUAUUACGUAUCUGAGUCUUCCUCUCAAGUCUUCCUUGUAACAUCCACGCAUCACGUUAACUGUCAGUGUUAGGCUUCUAUCCGAGUUCAGUGGACACGCGCAUGUUUGGGUUUACCCUCCCACCACGGAAGACG